rnacentral:rRNA from 1 species
UACGUAGGGGGCUAGCGUUGUCCGGAAUCAUUGGGCGUAAAGCGCGUGUAGGCGGUCCGGUAAGUCCGCUGUGAAAGUCGGGGGCUCAACCCUCGGAUGCCGGUGGAUACUGUCGGGCUUGAGUACGGAAGAGGCGAGUGGAAUUCCUGGUGUAGCGGUGAAAUGCGCAGAUAUCAGGAGGAACACCAAUUGCGAAGGCAGCUCGCUGGGACGUUAACUGACGCUGAGACGCGAAAGCGUGGGGAGCAAA